UUAAGCGACUAAGCGUACACGGUGGAUGCCCUGGCAGUCAGAGGCGAUGAAGGACGUGCUAAUCUGCGAUAAGCGUCGGUAAGGUGAUAUGAACCGUUAUAACCGGCGAUUUCCGAAUGGGGAAACCCAGUGUGUUUCGACACACUAUCAUUAACUGAAUCCAUAGGUUAAUGAGGCGAACCGGGGGAACUGAAACAUCUAAGUACCCCGAGGAAAAGAAAUCAACCGAGAUUCCCCCAGUAGCGGCGAGCGAACGGGGAGCAGCCCAGAGCCUGAAUCAGUGUGUGUGUUAGUGGAAGCGUCUGGAAAGGCGCGCGAUACAGGGUGACAGCCCCGUACACAAAAAUGCACAUGCUGUGAGCUCGAUGAGUAGGGCGGGACACGUGGUAUCCUGUCUGAAUAUGGGGGGACCAUCCUCCAAGGCUAAAUACUCCUGACUGACCGAUAGUGAACCAGUACCGUGAGGGAAAGGCGAAAAGAACCCCGGCGAGGGGAGUGAAAAAGAACCUGAAACCGUGUACGUACAAGCAGUGGGAGCACGCUUAGGCGUGUGACUGCGUACCUUUUGUAUAAUGGGUCAGCGACUUAUAUUCUGUAGCAAGGUUAACCGAAUAGGGGAGCCGAAGGGAAACCGAGUCUUAACUGGGCGUUAAGUUGCAGGGUAUAGACCCGAAACCCGGUGAUCUAGCCAUGGGCAGGUUGAAGGUUGGGUAACACUAACUGGAGGACCGAACCGACUAAUGUUGAAAAAUUAGCGGAUGACUUGUGGCUGGGGGUGAAAGGCCAAUCAAACCGGGAGAUAGCUGGUUCUCCCCGAAAGCUAUUUAGGUAGCGCCUCGUGAAUUCAUCUCCGGGGGUAGAGCACUGUUUCGGCAAGGGGGUCAUCCCGACUUACCAACCCGAUGCAAACUGCGAAUACCGGAGAAUGUUAUCACGGGAGACACACGGCGGGUGCUAACGUCCGUCGUGAAGAGGGAAACAACCCAGACCGCCAGCUAAGGUCCCAAAGUCAUGGUUAAGUGGGAAACGAUGUGGGAAGGCCCAGACAGCCAGGAUGUUGGCUUAGAAGCAGCCAUCAUUUAAAGAAAGCGUAAUAGCUCACUGGUCGAGUCGGCCUGCGCGGAAGAUGUAACGGGGCUAAACCAUGCACCGAAGCUGCGGCAGCGACGCUUAUGCGUUGUUGGGUAGGGGAGCGUUCUGUAAGCCUGCGAAGGUGUGCUGUGAGGCAUGCUGGAGGUAUCAGAAGUGCGAAUGCUGACAUAAGUAACGAUAAAGCGGGUGAAAAGCCCGCUCGCCGGAAGACCAAGGGUUCCUGUCCAACGUUAAUCGGGGCAGGGUGAGUCGACCCCUAAGGCGAGGCCGAAAGGCGUAGUCGAUGGGAAACAGGUUAAUAUUCCUGUACUUGGUGUUACUGCGAAGGGGGGACGGAGAAGGCUAUGUUGGCCGGGCGACGGUUGUCCCGGUUUAAGCGUGUAGGCUGGUUUUCCAGGCAAAUCCGGAAAAUCAAGGCUGAGGCGUGAUGACGAGGCACUACGGUGCUGAAGCAACAAAUGCCCUGCUUCCAGGAAAAGCCUCUAAGCAUCAGGUAACAUCAAAUCGUACCCCAAACCGACACAGGUGGUCAGGUAGAGAAUACCAAGGCGCUUGAGAGAACUCGGGUGAAGGAACUAGGCAAAAUGGUGCCGUAACUUCGGGAGAAGGCACGCUGAUAUGUAGGUGAGGUCCCUCGCGGAUGGAGCUGAAAUCAGUCGAAGAUACCAGCUGGCUGCAACUGUUUAUUAAAAACACAGCACUGUGCAAACACGAAAGUGGACGUAUACGGUGUGACGCCUGCCCGGUGCCGGAAGGUUAAUUGAUGGGGUUAGCGCAAGCGAAGCUCUUGAUCGAAGCCCCGGUAAACGGCGGCCGUAACUAUAACGGUCCUAAGGUAGCGAAAUUCCUUGUCGGGUAAGUUCCGACCUGCACGAAUGGCGUAAUGAUGGCCAGGCUGUCUCCACCCGAGACUCAGUGAAAUUGAACUCGCUGUGAAGAUGCAGUGUACCCGCGGCAAGACGGAAAGACCCCGUGAACCUUUACUAUAGCUUGACACUGAACAUUGAGCCUUGAUGUGUAGGAUAGGUGGGAGGCUUUGAAGUGUGGACGCCAGUCUGCAUGGAGCCGACCUUGAAAUACCACCCUUUAAUGUUUGAUGUUCUAACGUUGACCCCGUAAUCCGGGUUGCGGACAGUGUCUGGUGGGUAGUUUGACUGGGGCGGUCUCCUCCUAAAGAGUAACGGAGGAGCACGAAGGUUGGCUAAUCCUGGUCGGACAUCAGGAGGUUAGUGCAAUGGCAUAAGCCAGCUUGACUGCGAGCGUGACGGCGCGAGCAGGUGCGAAAGCAGGUCAUAGUGAUCCGGUGGUUCUGAAUGGAAGGGCCAUCGCUCAACGGAUAAAAGGUACUCCGGGGAUAACAGGCUGAUACCGCCCAAGAGUUCAUAUCGACGGCGGUGUUUGGCACCUCGAUGUCGGCUCAUCACAUCCUGGGGCUGAAGUAGGUCCCAAGGGUAUGGCUGUUCGCCAUUUAAAGUGGUACGCGAGCUGGGUUUAGAACGUCGUGAGACAGUUCGGUCCCUAUCUGCCGUGGGCGCUGGAGAACUGAGGGGGGCUGCUCCUAGUACGAGAGGACCGGAGUGGACGCAUCACUGGUGUUCGGGUUGUCAUGCCAAUGGCACUGCCCGGUAGCUAAAUGCGGAAGAGAUAAGUGCUGAAAGCAUCUAAGCACGAAACUUGCCCCGAGAUGAGUUCUCCCUGACCCUUUAAGGGUCCUGAAGGAACGUUGAAGACGACGACGUUGAUAGGCCGGGUGUGUAAGCGCAGCGAUGCGUUGAGCUAACCGGUACUAAUGAACCGUGAGGCUUAACCUU
rnacentral:rRNA from 1 species